rnacentral:rRNA from 1 species
UUGAUCUCAAAUCAGGUAGGACUACCCGCUGAACUUAAGCAUAUCAAUAAGCGGAGGAAAAGAAACUAACAAGGAUUCCCCUAGUAACUGCGAGUGAAGCGGGAAGAGCUCAAAUUUAAAAUCUGGCGUGCCUCUGGUCGUCCGAGUUGUAGUCUGGAGAAGUGUUUUCCGUGUUGGACCGUGUACAAGUCUCUUGGAACAGGGCGUCAUAGAGGGUGAGAAUCCCGUCUUUGACACGGACUACCAAUGCUUUGUGAUGCGCUCUCAAAGAGUCGAGUUGUUUGGGAAUGCAGCUCAAAAUGGGUGGUAAAUUCCAUCUAAAGCUAAAUAUAGGCGAGAGACCGAUAGCGAACAAGUACCGUGAGGGAAAGAUGAAAAGCACUUUGGAAAGAGAGUUAAACAGUACGUGAAAUUGCUGAAAGGGAA